GUGAUCGCUGGCGGCGUGCUUAACACAUGCAAGUCGAGCGGAUUUCGGCAGAGUACCGCCGGAGGUUAGCGGCAGACGGGUGAGUAAUACUUGGGCAAUCUGCCCUUGAGUGGGAAAACAACCGGCCGAAAAGGCUGGCUAAUGUCCCAUAAGACCACGGGGAUGGCAUCAUUUCAGGGGUCAAAGCUCCGCAAGGGGCGCUUGAGGAGGAGCCUGAGUUCCCUAUCAUGGUAGUUGGUGAGGUAACGGCUCACCAAGGCCUUUGACGGGUAGCCGGGCCUGAAAGGGUGAUCGGCCACCACUGGCACUGAGACACGGGCCAGACUCCUACGGGAGGCAGCAGUGGGGGAAUUUUGGACAAUGGGGGCAACCUGAUUCCAGCGACGCCGCGUGAAGGAUGAAGGGCCUUCGGGUUGUAAACUUCUUUUGGAGGGGAUGAACGCCCUGGUGAAUAGCCAGGGGUGACAGUACUCUCGGAAUAAGCCACGGCUAAACUACGUGCCAGCAGCAGCCGCGGUAAUACGUAGGUGGCAAGCGAUACUCGGAAUCACUAGGCGUAAAAGCGCAGGUAGGCGGUUCGGUAAGUCUUUUGUGAAAGCUCCCGGCUCACUGGGAGAGGCCAAGGGAAAACUACCGGACUAGAGUGUGGUAGGGGAUACUGGAAUUCCUGGUUGUAGCGGUGAAAUGCGUAGAUAUCAGGAGGAAUACCUAUGGCGAAAGCAGGUAUCUGGGCCAUCACUGACGCUGAGCUGCGAAAGCUAGGGGAGGCAAACAGGAUUAGAUACCCUGGUAGUCCUAGCCCUAAACGAUGCUCAUUAGAUGUGGGAGGUUAUCGACCCCCUUCCGCGUCGCAGCUAACGCAUUAAAUGAGCCGCCUGGGGAGUACGGCCGCAAGGUUGAAACUCAAAGGAAAUUGACGGGGGCCCGCACAAGCGGUGGAACAUGUGGUUUAAAUUCGACGACAACGCGAAGAACCUUACCUGGGCUUGAACUACUUCGUGGUAAGUCGCUGGAAACAGUGGCUGACCCGCAAGGGAGCGAGCAGAAGGUGCUGCUUGGUUGUCGUCAGCUCGUGUCGUGAGAUUGUUUGGGUUAAGUCCCGCAACGAGCGCAACCCCUAUCCGAUGUUGCUAAUUCCCGCAAGGGAUGCACUCUUCGGAAAACUGCCUUCGAUAAGAAGGAGGAAGGUGGGGACGACGUCAAAAUCCUCAUGGCCCUUAUGUCCCAGGGCUACACACGUGUUACAAUGGCCGGUACAAUGGGAAGGCAAUACCGUAAGGUGGAGCCAAAACCCACCAAAAGCCGGCCCCAGUUCAGAUUGUGGGCUGCAACUCGCCCACAUGAAGGCGGAAUCGCUAGUAAUCGCUGAUCAGCAGGCAGCGGUGAAUACGUUCCCGGGCCUUGUACACACCGCCGUCACACCACGAAAGCCCGCUGCAACAGAAGUCAGUGCUCCAACCCGCAAGGGGGGGAAACUGCCAAAGUUGUGGUUGGUGAUUGGGGUG
rnacentral:rRNA from 1 species